rnacentral:rRNA from 1 species
UCUGGCUUAACUGGGGGCUUGCGGNGGGUACGGGCCGGCUUGAGUGCGGUAGGGGAGACUGGAACUCCUGGUGUAGCGGUGGAAUGCGCAGAUAUCAGGAAGAACACCGGUGGCGAAGGCGGGUCUCUGGGCCGUUACUGACGCUGAGGAGCGAAAGCGUGGGGAGCGAACAGGAUUAGAUACCCUGGUAGUCCACGCCGUAAACGUUGGGCACUAGGUGUGGGGGGCCUUUUCCGGGUUUUCCGCGCCGUAGCUAACGCAUUAAGUGCCCCGCCUGGGGAGUACGGCCGCAAGGCUAAAACUCAAAGGAAUUGACGGGGGCCCGCACAAGCGGCGGAGCAUGCGGAUUAAUUCGAUGCAACGCGAAGAACCUUACCAAGGCUUGACAUGUGCCGGUCGGCUCCGGAGACGGGGUUUCCUCCUUGUGGGGCCGGUUCACAGGUGGUGCAUGGUUGUCGUCAGCUCGUGUCGUGAGAUGUUGGGUUAAGUCCCGCAACGAGCGCAACCCUUGUCCCGUGUUGCCAGCACGUUGUGGUGGGGACUCGCGGGAGACUGCCGGGGUCAACUCGGAGGAAGGUGGGGAUGUCGUCAAAUCAUCAUGCCCCUUAUGUCUUGGGCUUCACGCAUGCUACAAUGGCCGGUACAGAGGCUGCGAUACCGUGAGGUGGAGCGAAUCCCUUAAAGCCGGUCUCAGUUCGGAUCGGUGUCUGCAACUCGACACCGUGAAGUUGGAGUCGCUAGUAAUCGCAGAUCAGCAACGCUGCGGUGAAUACGUUCUCGGGCCUUGUACACACCGCCCGUCACGUCAUGAAAGUCGGCAACACNC